AGAGUUUGAUCCUGGCUCAGAUUGAACGCUGGCGGCAGGCCUAACACAUGCAAGUCGAACGGUAACAGGAAGCAGCUUGCUGCUUUGCUGACGAGUGGCGGACGGGUGAGUAAUGUCUGGGAAACUGCCCGAUGGAGGGGGAUAACUACUGGAAACGGUAGCUAAUACCGCAUAAUGUCGCAAGACCAAAGAGGGGGACCUUCGGGCCUCUUGCCAUCGGAUGUGCCCAGAUGGGAUUAGCUUGUUGGUGAGGUAACGGCUCACCAAGGCGACGAUCCCUAGCUGGUCUGAGAGGAUGACCAGCCACACUGGAACUGAGACACGGUCCAGACUCCUACGGGAGGCAGCAGUGGGGAAUAUUGCACAAUGGGCGCAAGCCUGAUGCAGCCAUGCCGCGUGUAUGAAGAAGGCCUUCGGGUUGUAAAGUACUUUCAGCGGGGAGGAAGGGGUUAAGGUUAAUAACCUUAGCCAUUGACGUUACCCGCAGAAGAAGCACCGGCUAACUCCGUGCCAGCAGCCGCGGUAACACGGAGGGUGCAAGCGUUAAUCGGAAUUACUGGGGUAAAGCGCACGCAGGCGGUCUGUCAAGUCGGAUGUGAAAUCCCCGGGCUCAACCUGGGAACUGCAUUCGAAACUGGCAGGCUUGAGUCUCGUAGAGGGGGGUAGAAUUCCAGGUGUAGCGGUGAAAUGCGUAGAGAUCUGGAGGAAUACCGGUGGCGAAGGC
rnacentral:rRNA from 1 species